AUGUGGGUUGGUAAGGGAAGCUUGGCAUGGGCGACGGUCGACGGCGUUGCCGGUGGGGGCGACGUCGGCAGGGGCGGCGGCGACGGGGUUGGGCUCCUGGAGAGGGAUGGGCAGAGAGAGAGAGUGAGAGACAGCGAGAUAGAGAGAGAAAAAGAGAGAGAGCGAAGAAGGAGGGAGAGGUGUCCGGGUCAGGGGGGAGUGCGGGUAUACCUAAUGAAGACGGUGAAUCGUUCACCGUCUUCAUUAGGCGGUGAACAAUUCACCGUCUUACAUUGGGAGCGCGGGGGUUGGGUUUACACUAAAGGCGGUGAACGAUUCACCGUCUUUAGUGCAAACUGAUAAGACAGUGAAUGGUUCACCGUCUUAUCAAUAUUUUAGCCCCGACUCCAGGACUUGGCUA
rnacentral:lncRNA from 1 species